ACUUCUGAGAGAUUGCUGCGGGCAACUCUUCUGUCACUUAUCCUAACUUCAAAAUAACAAGCUGGGGACACACAAUUCUGCAACCGUGCCAUAUGCCGGAAUCUGGAGCAAUACUCACAAAAUGCUGGAGGAACUCAGCAGGCCAGGCAGCAUCUAUGGAGAGGAAUAAACAGCUCAUCAUCAAGGACCCCUACCAUCCAGACCAUCAGGCUUCUGAACCAGGGGGGCCGUGCACAAUUCUGAUCUGAUGGAGACAGCCGUGAGAAGCACAGAGGAACACCUGGAGAAACUUCUGAAAUGCCUGCUUCGCUGCCGCUGCUACUGUGCGAUCAAGAAUCUCUGGAGACGAAGGCCCCAGAUCCUUGGCUUUGCCUAUUGCCUGUUGCCGGGGCCGGGGUCGAAGCGCUCGGCAGAGACAGUGCUCGAUGCUCGGUGUCGAAGAGGUGGGUUGGAGGCUUGGAGUUUUUGGACGGACUCGGAGUCGGACUGUGGUCGGAUGCUUCCAGGAUGCUGCAUCGGCAAGUUGGCGGCGCUGGAGGUUCACCGUCUGCGUGAGAUGAUGGGACUUUCCAGAAACUUUGAGACUUCUACUGUGCCAUAGUCUGUUCUCAUCAAGUUACGGUAUUGCUUUGUACUGUUGUAACUAUAUGUUAUAAUUAUGUGGUCUUUGUUCGUUUUUAAGUCAGUUUGUCACAUGUUUUCGUGAUAUCAU